rnacentral:rRNA from 1 species
ACCUAUUCGAAGGGAUAGGGUCGGUUCGGCCGGAUUUCACACAGGUGUUGCAUGGCUGUCGUCAGCUCGUGUCGUGAGAUGUUGGGUUAAGUCCCGCAACGAGCGUAACCCUCAUCCUUAGUUACCAUCGGGUAAUGCUGGGGACUUUAAGGAAACUGCUAGUGAUAAACUGGAGGAAGGUGGGGAUGAUGUCAAGUCAUCAUGGCCUUUAUGGAGUGGGCUACACACGUGCUACAAUGGUGGCUACAAUGGGCUGCAAAGUCGCGAGGCUAAGCUAAUCUCUUAAAAGCCAUCUCAGUUCGGAUUGUACUCUGCAACUCGAGUGCAUGAAGUUGGAAUCGCUAGUAAUCGUGGAUUAGCAUGCCACGGUGAAUACGUUCUCGGGUCUUGUACACACUGCCCGUCACGCCAUGGGAAUUGGUUUCACUCGAAGCU